rnacentral:lncRNA from 1 species
CUUUAUUACCCACUGGCCACCAACAGUUUCCCAGCCACAUGCUGGACCCUCUUGGCACACAUUUAUGGAGGGUUGUCCCUGAAGAGAAGGGCAGGUGGGAGAGGUUCCCUGUUACUUAAGAGAAGGCACCAGUGGCAAAGAGCACAAUGAAGAGGAUGAUGAUAAAAACAAUCACGCAGAUAAGGACAAUCAUCUUCACGUUCUUCCACCAGAAUUUUCGAGCCACCUUCUGCGAUGUCGUCUUGAAGUGCUC